ACCUGGGUGGCUCAGUCGGUUGAGCACUUGACUUCAGCUCAGGUCAUGAUCCCAUGGUUCGUGGGUUUGAGCCCCACAUCAGGCU
rnacentral:tRNA from 1 species